UACGGGGGGGGGGCAAGCGUUGUUCGGAAUUACUGGGCGUAAAGCGCACGUAGGCGGAUUCGUAAGUCAGGGGUGAAAUCCCGGGGCUCAACCUCGGAACUGCCUUUGAUACUGCGGAUCUCGAGUCCGAUAGAGGUGGGUGGAAUUCCUAGUGUAGAGGUGAAAUGCGUAGAUAUCUGGAGGAACACCGGUGGCGAAGGCGGCAUCCUGGACCAACACUGACACUGAGGAGCGAAAGCCAGGGGAGCAAACGGG
rnacentral:rRNA from 1 species